rnacentral:lncRNA from 13 species
CUAGUGUGGAACUGAAAAAGAAAUGGACUAAGAAGUGAGAUCACCACGACCACCUUGAGGACACGCUACUGCCCAAUCACC